UUAUAAAAGGCAGCUGGAGCCUUUUGUAGGCCUCAUGCUGCUGCUCCCGCCUGUGUGAAGCUCUUCCCUGUUGGGAUCCCCUUAAUAUUCCUGCAUUUAGCUGCAGCUCCAAGGUGGUAUAGACCUACUGCUGUUUUUGCCCCCCCUCAUUUUAGUUGUUUUGUCUCCGUACUGUUCCUUUAGUUUAGCAUUUUGUCCCUAGUUAGUUUCCUGGUUUGAUAUUGUUUCUUUUGAUAUUAGUUGCUUUACUUUAGAUUGUUUAACUAGUUUCCUUUUAGUUUUCUUCUUCUCUUCAAUUAUCGAUUAAGUUUGUUUACCAACUGGGUUUGUUUUUUUUGUUAUUUAAUUACUUUGUUUCUUUCAGAAGUUGAGCCCAUUAGUUUGGGAGGCUAGCCACCAAGGGUGAGGGCCCUCCACGUGUUUCAUGCGAGUUUGGCACUGGGUCACGAUAGGCUGCACUGAAUUGUAGUGAGGAUUGUGGUGUGGGUGUUUGUGCUGUACUUCACCAAGAUAAAUUAAUGACGUUUUGCCAUUCGUUCUUUUGAUUUAAUAAACUUUUGAACUUA